CAAGAUGUCGGACAAAAAUGUUCAUGAAAUGCUCCCCAGAGUUUGCAUUUACAAUUCUCAACUACAUGUAUAUGAUCAGAGCCCUGUAACAUAAAUAAAAGUGAUCGAUUGUGGGGAAGAUUUAAUAAUUGAUCGAACACAAGAAACAAAAUCAAUUGUAGGUUACAUACCCACAGUCAAUUGCUAAGCUUUAUGUUGCGUGGCCCUGAUUUGUAUUUUCUGUGUAAUUCAUUGUCAUACAUUUACAUGUACUUGUGUAAAAUUAAACCAGAGUAUGUAUAUUUAUCAAUGAUUAAUAAAUGAAAGCAUGCCUUCACCAUGCAAUCAAACACUGUGAGCUUGCAAAAAAUGUUUUAAGAAGCUUUUUCCACCCAAAAAAUAAAAUAAGAGGUGAAAAUUGGAACACGAAGAUUAGGCUUUCAUAAACAUGAUUUUUGAGAAACAUAUAUGUAUGUAUCUAUAUAUGUGUCAUGCUUAAAAUUUGUACAUGUUUUAUAGUACAUAUUUUGUGACAGGAGUGAUCAUGUCAUCACAUGCAAUAAAUAGAAAAGAGGCAAAUAAUUAAAAAUUAGAAUGAUGCAUUUAUUUGUGUAUGUUACUGUCAUGAGUGUCAUAAACUCAUCUCAUAACUGUCAAAUGGCAUGAAAAGAUAUGUCAUAUACAUAUCUAUUUAUAUUUAGUUAGAUAGUUCAUAACUUAAUAUUUCUUUAUAUUUUUAUGCUUAGACAUUUACAUGUACGGAUACUGCAACACUAGUUUGCUGCCAUUUCUAAUGGCAUAGCUUAAAGGGAUGGUAGCAGUCACACUACUGCAGCUUGUAUAAAUCUAACAUAAAGAGCAUGAUUUAUAUUACAAUGUACAGUACAUUUGUUCAAGAAUGACUGGAAUUUACAGUUCAUUUUGUUCAAGAUGGACUAGCAUAGUAAAGUACAUAUAGUGCCCAAUAGCAACAGCUCUGUGAGUGAUGUGUGAGAAAUACUGCCAUCCUAUGACAAAAGAUGGCAACUCUUUGGAAUGAGUUUCUUAGUAAAUGACAAAAAUGUGUCCUAGUUUAUGGAAGAUUUACUUGGUUUUGAAAUGUCUAUAUUUCAGAAAUUGGGGCUAAGCUAUUCUAAUUCCUUCGGCAUCAUGUAGAGCAUACGCAUAUUAUCCCAAAUCAA